rnacentral:tRNA from 1 species
UACGUUUUAGUAUAUGAUGUACAAAGGUUUUUGAAUCCUGAGGGAGUAGUUUAAUUCUACUUUUCGUAA